UACAGAGGGUGCGAGCGUUGUCCGGAAUCACUGGGCGUAAAGGGCGCGUAGGUGGCUUGUUAAGCGUGUGGUGAAAGCCUGGGGCUCAACCCCAGGUCUGCCGUGCGAAUUGGCAAGCUUGAGCGUAGUAGAGGCAGGUGGAAUUUCGGGUGUAGCGGUGGAAUGCGUAGAUAUCCGAAAGAACACCGGUGGCGAAGGCGGCCUGCUGGGCUACUGCUGACACUGAUGCGCGACAGCGUGGGGAGCAAACAGG
rnacentral:rRNA from 1 species